CCUACGGGGGGCUGCAGUGGGGAAUAUUGCACAAUGGGGGAAACCCUGAUGCAGCGACGCCGCGUGAAGGAAGAAGGUCUUCGGAUCGUAAACUUCUAUCAGCAGGGAAGAACAAGUACCGAAGGAAAUGGCGGUACCUUGACGGUACCUGACGAGAAAGCCACGGCUAACUACGUGCCAGCAGCCGCGGUAAUACGUAGGUGGCAAGCGUUGUCCGGAAUUAUUGGGCGUAAAGCGCGCGCAGGCGGUUCCUUAAGUCUGAUGUGAAAUCUUGCGGCUCAACCGCAAGCGGUCAUUGGAAACUGGGGAACCUGAGUGCAGAAGAGGAAAGCGGAAUUCCACGUGUAGCGGUGAAAUGCGUAGAGAUGUGGAGGAACACCAGUGGCGAAGGCGGCUUUCUGGUCUGUAACUGACGCUGAGGCGCGAAAGCGUGGGGAGCAAACAGGAUUAGAUACCCGAGUAGUC
rnacentral:rRNA from 1 species